rnacentral:RNase_P_RNA from 1 species
UCAGAUGGCCGGAUGGCCGCGGGGCUUCGCAAGAAGCGUCGAGGAAAGUCCGGGCUCCACGGAAACACGGUGACGGAUAACAUCCGCCGGGGGUAACCCCAGGGAAAGCGCCACAGAAAUGAAACCGCCCACCGGCCUAAAGCCGCGGCAAGGUUGAAAAGGUGCGGUAAGAGCGCACCGCGUCUCUGGCAACAGAGGUGGCACGGCAAGCCCCAUCGGGAGCAAGACCAAAUAGGGACGGCACGUCAUCCGUUUCCGGAUCGCCGUCCGGGUAGGUCGCGUGAGGUGUGGGGCAACUCACAUCCCAGAGGAAUGGCCAUCUAUCGCGGGAGAAAUCCCGCGUGGACAGAACCCGGCUUACAGGCCAUCUGACGCA